rnacentral:rRNA from 1 species
UACGAAGGGGGCUAGCGUUGCUCGGAAUCACUGGGCGUAAAGGGUGCGUAGGCGGGUCUUUAAGUCAGGGGUGAAAUCCUGGAGCUCAACUCCAGAACUGCCUUUGAUACUGAGGAUCUUGAGUUCGGGAGAGGUGAGUGGAACUGCGAGUGUAGAGGUGAAAUUCGUAGAUAUUCGCAAGAACACCAGUGGCGAAGGCGGCUCACUGGCCCGAUACUGACGCUGAGGCACGGAAAGCGUGGGGAGCAACAGG